UCAUUGGGCGUAAAGCGUCUGUAGGUUGUUUAAUAAGUCUGUUGUUAAAGACUAGGGCUCAACCCUAGAAAAGCAAUGGAAACUACUAGACUUGAGUAUGGCAGGGGUAGAGGGAAUUUCUAGUGUAGCGGUGAAAUGCGUAGAUAUUAGAAAGAACACCAGCGGCGAAAGCGCUCUACUGGGCCAUUACUGACACUCAGAGACGAAAGCUAGGGUAGCAAAAGGGAUUAGAUACCCCUGUAGUCCUAGCCGUAAACGAUGGAUACUAGAUGUUGUGUUUAAUAUGCAGUAUCGUAGCUAACGCGUUAAGUAUCCCGCCUGGGGAGUACGCUCGCAAGGGUGAAACUCAAAGGAAUUGACGGGGGCCCGCACAAGCGGUGGAGCAUGUGGUUUAAUUCGAUGCAACGCGAAGAACCUUACCAGGACUUGACAUACUACAAAUUUCUUUGAAAAAAGGAAGUGCCUUCGGGAAUGUAGAUACAGGUGGUGCAUGGCUGUCGUCAGCUCGUGUCGUGAGAUGUUGGGUUAAGUCCCGCAACGAGCGCAACCCUUAUUUUUAGUUACUAAUUAAUUAGGUUUUCUAGAAAGACUGCCGGUGACAAACCGGAGGAAGGUGAGGAUGACGUCAAGUCAGCAUGCCCCUUAUGUCCUGGGCUACACACGUGCUACAAUGGUUAAGACAAAGGGUCGCGAGCUCGUGAGAGUCAGCUAAUCCCAUAAAUUUAGCCUAAGUUCAGAUUGUAGGCUGCAACU
rnacentral:rRNA from 1 species